AAGUGGAGUACAGCAAAUAAAGAAUAAUGGUUCGGCGAAAGUGCUUCAUUUAAAUCGAUUAUUUAGGCUGAUGAUUUAUAAUGGUCACCAAUUACGCAAGCGCGUUACGUGUCGCUUGAUUAGAACCACAUGAUGCAAACGUUCAUGCAAUAGUCCGUUAAGAACUACAUGUGAAUAGUGAGCCCUCAAGAGCGCCCAUAAUAUAUAUAUAAGAAACAAUUGUUACAAAUAGUUGCAGUAUUUAAUCAAACAAGAAAUAUAGAAAAUAUAUAUGAUCUGGUAAAACUUGGCGCAUAAUGAUAAAAAUUAAAGAUUUAUAAUUCAGUAAUUUCCUGGUUGUCUAAUUUAACUUUUUCGAACAAUAAUUACAUAUCGCACGUUUCUUUUUAUUUGAUUGCUUUUCUACUAAAUUAUAUUAAAAGGAACUACAGAAGGAGACUGAUAACAUUUAUAUUAUAAUUUGUGUGAUACAACGAAUGCAUACGUGUCAGUUCAACGUCGUCAUUGGUUUUCAUAGGAAAAAGUGAGCAUUUAUUAACCAAAAGUUUUAUAAUUUGAUGAUAUGUAAGAUGCAUCGUGAUUGGUUAUAAAAAGAAAUUUUGAAAAGUAGCGCUGGAAAAGAUCUCAUGAUUGAUGUACUAAAUGAAUUUCAAAAAAUGAUAUACGUAAGAAAACAUUAUCCAGAAUAUCGAUAAAAUCACUAGUCAUAGCUAAGUCGCCAAGGAUUAUGCAAAAGCUGACUGAGCGCAAGUAUUUACAAAAAAUUAUUAUGUCAGAAACGGUAUUAUGUGUUUUACUGAAAGUGUCAAGCGAGAGCGAGAGCGGAUAUCUUGUCAAACUAUUCGGAUUCAGACUUCACACGGGAUAUUUCAGUAUCCGAGGACAACGAUUAUCACAUUUUACAAAACAUCAAAUCUGACCGGAGACAUCCUGAUAGUGCGAGUGUGAGAAACAAAAUUGAUGAGAUUCCAUUUGCAAAUAUGUCCGUGAUCCCAAAAUCUAUUGACUCGAGGAAGGAUGAGUCGACGGAAGGGCGCAACAACUAUCUUUAAUUUUCCCGAAAUUAAACGUCUCGUGGCGUUUGGAAUCGGGUCGAACGAACUGACAGGUCUGAAAAGCAGGUAAACGACUGAGUCGCUGUUACGCUGGUUAUUCAGACAUUCGUUUGGUGGUCCCUUUUUGGUAAGACAAUUUAAUCUCUUUUACGCGGGAUGGGACCAAAUGCGAUCUUUCGACUAGAGGAAUGAGUGGGGGGUUUAAUAAAGAGUUACUUUGAUUUUUAAAUUAACAAAAUGUAAAUUUAUUAAUUUUAAAGUAAAUGGUGGAUAUACAUGAUUAUAUAAAAAAAAAAUUAAAAUAGAAAAAUUGUUGAUUAUAAUUUCUCGGUGAGUGUACAUGUGUAUGUGUGUGUUUUUGGUUCGCGGGUGUUACAUUAAUACGCGGAGGACAUCAGUCAGAAAUGGAAUAGAAUGAUUUACACUGUUAAAUUUAGAUUCUGACUGGUUAAUACAAUAUAAAAAUAUAUUUGAUUAAAGGAUAAAAACAUAAAAUCAAAAUCAAUAUGUAUAAGUAAAUAAGUGUAUAUGUUAAGAACGGUCAGAAAUAUAAAAUUAGUCACUCGCAUAUGUGUUAGAUUAAGAUCAGGAUUUAAAAAAAUUUUUCUAGGACUUAUUACCGAAACGGGUUAAUGAUUUAAAAGAAUGAAACAUUCUUCGAAAAGUUUUGAUUUAAAUAAGAAACAAGACAAAAAGGAGGAAAAGAAAAAUUAUUCAAUUAAACUUACUUUUUUCAAUAGUAAUUCAGAGGUGGAGGGGUGGCGAAUUUUUGUACGGUGUUUCGCUCUGUGUCUCAUGUCGGCAAUCCGAUGUUCGAUUCGUGGUUGCUCUGGAGAUGAUGCCAAGUGAGGACACUGGUGGCACAAGUGCCUAACUCGCGAAUUACGGUGCAAAAGCACAGAGUAAGACUGCGUGAAGCUGAAGACUGGAGAAUAAGUGCGUAAGUGAGUUCGAGUCCUCUUUUUAUAUUUCUCUUUUCGGGGUGUAUUCUAAUUUCUAAGAGUGGGAAUCUUCCAAAACUUUAACGAAUUAAAAGUUGUGCCAGUGUCCUCAUUAGGCGGGGUGUUUCUCCUACUUUUCAAAUUUUCACUCAUGACGAUCGUCGAUUGGUGAUCAGUUCAGAGUCCCUUGAGCUCUAGGUUUCUCUUACGCCCGUGAUUUGAUUUAGACAAAGUCCAAAUGUGACGUCACAAAAGUUUCGUCAUUAUUUAUUUAGUUGUAUUCAUCGGAUGUUUUGUGAGAAUUUUAUUAUCUUUUCGUUAUCAGCGUUUGAGAAUGCUACUGCGAGGGUAUCUACUGGUUCUUAUUUAUUUUUCGGCGACCGGCGCGGUUUCGUCGCGUCUUUCUCACGGUUACUCAUAGAUAUAGAUAUUGAUAAGUGACUAAAUG